GACGAACGCUGGCGGCGUGCUUAACACAUGCAAGUCGAACGGAAAGGCCCUGCUUUUGUGGGGUGCUCGAGUGGCGAACGGGUGAGUAACACGUGAGUAACCUGCCCUUGACUUUGGGAUAACUUCAGGAAACUGGGGCUAAUACCGGAUAGGAGCUCCUGCUGCAUGGUGGGGGUUGGAAAGUUUCGGCGGUUGGGGAUGGACUCGCGGCUUAUCAGCUUGUUGGUGGGGUAGUGGCUUACCAAGGCUUUGACGGGUAGCCGGCCUGAGAGGGUGACCGGCGACACUGGGACUGAGAUACGGCCCAGACUCCUACGGGAGGCAGCAGUGGGGAAUAUUGCACAAUGGGCGGAAGCCUGAUGCAGCAACGCCGCGUGCGGGAUGACGGCCUUCGGGUUGUAAACCGCUUUCGCCUGUGACGAAGCGUGAGUGACGGUAAUGGGUAAAGAAGCACCGGCUAACUACGUG
rnacentral:rRNA from 1 species